UUCGAGAGCUACGCGUCUCUUGAAGAUAGAUAAAUACGACGAUCAUCUCUCUGUAUUAUAUCUCGAAUUGUAAUUCUAUAACACGAGAUUGGAAAAAUAAGAAGGGGAAGAAGUUAUAUAAUUUCGUACAUAAAUUUUGUUUUAAAUUCCUAUAUGGCGCUGCAGUCGUAAGCGCUCUGUAAUCGAGUGUGUUGAAUUUUGUAGAGAGUAUGUCGCGUGUGUUCGGGAAAAGAAUUUAACAUCGGAAGGAAUUGAUGAAUGUAGUGAAGGUUUAGAAAAUAUUACUGUCAAUGCAAUUAUUCAGAAAGCUUUAGAUAGUGAUUUACGAGAAAUUGGUGCAAAAUUCCUACCUGAAGAUAUCAACAGAGGAAGAAUUGAAUCAAUAACUGGACCAGCAGUUCUUCAGAUUCAGAAAAUACGUAAUGUUAGUUCACCAAAA
rnacentral:misc_RNA from 1 species